UACGUAGGGUGCGAGCGUUGUCCGGAAUUAUUGGGCGUAAAGAGCUUGUAGGCGGUCUGUCGCGUCUGCUGUGAAAAUCCGGGGCUCAACCCCGGACUUGCAGUGGGUACGGGCAGACUAGAGUGUGGUAGGGGAGACUGGAAUUCCCGGUGUAGCGGUGAAAUGCGCAGAUAUCGGGAGGAACACCGGUGGCGAAGGCGGUUCUCUGGGACGGUACUGACGCUGAGACGCGAAAGCGUGGGGAGCGAACAGG
rnacentral:rRNA from 1 species